UACGUAGGGCGCAAGCGUUGUCCGGAAUUAUUGGGCGUAAAGAGCUCGUAGGCGGCUUGUCACGUCGGAUGUGAAAGCCCGGGGCUUAACCCCGGGUCUGCAUUCGAUACGGGCUAGCUAGAGUGUGGUAGUGGAGAUCGGAAUUCCUGGUGUAGCGGUGAAAUGCGCAGAUAUCAGGAGGAACACCGGUGGCGAAGGCGGAUCUCUGGGACGGUACUGACGCUGAGACGCGAAAGCGUGGGGAGCGAACAGG
rnacentral:rRNA from 1 species